rnacentral:rRNA from 1 species
GUCCACGCCGUAAACGAUGGAUGCUAGCCGUCGGCAAGCUUGCUUGUCGGUGGCGCAGCUAACGCAUUAAGCAUCCCGCCUGGGGAGUACGGCCGCAAGGUUAAAACUCAAAGGAAUUGACGGGGGCCCGCACAAGCGGUGGAGCAUGUGGUUUAAUUCGACGCAACGCGAAGAACCUUACCAAGCCUUGACAUGUCCGGACGACCUUUGGAAACGGAGGUCUCCCAGCAAUGGGUCGGAACACAGGUGCUGCAUGGCUGUCGU